rnacentral:rRNA from 1 species
AGAGUUUGAUCAUGGCUCAGGAUGAACGCUGGCGGCGCGCUUAACCCAUGCAAGUCGAACGAACCGACGCUAAAGGAAGCCUUCGGGCAGACGAGGUGUUGGUUAGUGGCAAACGGGUGAGUAACACGUGGGUGACCUGCCCCAAAGUGGGGAAUAACUGUCCGAAAGGGCAGCUAAUUCCGCAUGUGGUCCGGCAUUCGGUUGUCGGAUUAAAGGAGCGAUUCGCUUUGGGAGGGGCUCGCGGCCGAUUAGCUAGUUGGUAGGGUAAAGGCCUACCAAGGCGAUGAUCGGUAGCUGGUCGGAGAGGAUGAUCAGCCACACUGGCACUGAGACGCGGGCCAGACUCCUACGGGAGGCAGCAGGGAGGAAUAUUGGACAAUGGGGGGAACCCUGAUCCAGCGACGCCGCGUGGGCGAAGAAGGUCUUCGGAUCGUAAAGCCCUUUUCCGAGGGAUGAGGCAGGACAGUACCUCGGGAAUAAGUCUCGGCUAACUACGUGCCAGCAGCCGCGGUAAAACGUAGGAGGCUAGCGUUAUCCGGAUUUACUGGGCGUAAAGCGCGUGCAGGCGGUGGUGUAAGUUGGGCGUGAAAUCUCUCGGCUUAACUGGGAGGGGUCGUUCAAUACUGCAUCACUUGAGGGCAGGAGAGGGAAGUGGAAUUCCCGGUGUAGUGGUAAUAUGCGCAGAUAUCGGGAGGAAUACCAGUGGCGAAGGCGGCUUCCUGGCCUGUCACUGACGCUCAGACGCGAAAGCUAGGGGAGCGAACGGAAUUAGAUACUCUGGUAGUCCUAGCUGUAAACGAUGGAUACUAGGUGUGGGUGGUAUUGACUCCACCUGUGCCGAAGCCCAACGCGUUAAGUAUCCCGCCUGGGGACUACGGCCGCAAGGCUAAAACUCAAAGGAAUUGACGG